rnacentral:lncRNA from 1 species
GCUCCCCUUUGAAUUGGAGAUUUACUACAUCCAGCAUGUUAUGCUCUACGUGGUGCCCAUCUAUCUGCUUUGGAAAGGAGGUGCCUACACCCCGGAGCCCCUCAGCAGUUUCCGGUGGGCCCUUCUCUCGACUGGCCUCAUGUUCUUUUAUCACUUCAGCGUCUUGCAGAUCCUGGGCCUGGUCACCGAAGUGAAUUUGAACAACAUGCUGUGUCCGGCCAUCUCAGACCCAUUCUACGGCCCCUGGUACCGCAUCUGGGCCUCGGGACACCAGACUCUCAUGACCAUGACCCACGGGAAGCUGGUUAUCCUGUUCUCAUACAUGGCUGGGCCCUUGUGUAAAUAUCUGCUGGAUUUGCUCCGGCUUCCAGCCAAGAAAAUAGACUGAAGGUGCUUGCGGGGUUUUUGUUUUUGUUUUUUUCUUUUGUUUUGGGGUGGUUUGGUUUUUUUUUUUUUUUCUUUUUUCUUUUUUUCUUCUCCCCCUGAGGAAACAAGUCCUGACUUGACUUGGAGGACACCCAGUUCUUGAUGAAAUCAUGGGAGAGGGCAGUAGGGUGUUUGGUGUAUUUCUCUCCCCCCCCCCACCCCCGUCCCUUUCUUCCAGCACUUUUUCCUUCACCAGCUCUUCCCCCAGGACGGAGGCUCCGAGAGCCUGGCGGGGGUGGUAGUGCUGAGGGCCGGACCUUUCCUCCUCCCCUCUGGCGCUCUCUCCCUGCUUCUAGUGGCCUUACAUGGGGAGACGGUAGUCAGUGGCUGUCACUCUGCUUGUUGGUGCUUUAACAACAGCUGGUUGAGGAGAAAGGGAACAACAAGCAGCAGGAGUUGUUUGGGCGUCGAAGCAAUGCGAUUGGGUUGUGUUUCAUUUCUCCACUGCCAGGGACCUCCAGCCUUCGGCCGGGGGUCCCCUUCUGCCUCCAGCACAGCCCCCGCCGUGAGGGGACUGAGGCCUUGUUUCUAUACCAGCGGCAAGCCCAGAGCCAAGGGAUUUCCCAGCUCGUGGCCAAAAUAGAACUGGCCAGAUUCUUCCCACUAGUGUCCCAUGACUCAAAGCAAGCAGCCAACCAGCCACUCCCUCCAGGAUACUGCCAGCCGUGGGAGGUGGGGGCGCUACCCAGCCCAGGGGCUAGAUCCUACUGAGCCCUGUUGCAGUGGCAAAUCCAAAGUGAACAAGGUUGAAAUGCCCACUGGCUCAUACUAGGCAAGACCUUGGGUAAAUUCUGCCUGAGAGCUGAGAGGUGACCCACAUCCCAAUCAGAAGUGAGCACAGCAGUUAAUCAACAGAAGUGGUAACUCGAGAAACCUAUGAUGUGAAUCAUGCUUGCGUUCAGUUUAAUGUUGAUAAUAGAUGGUGUUUUCAUUGUGAGUGCCCCUUAAAUGUCUCUCUUUCUCUUUUCAAAAGGCAGCUUCAGGGCAGGAUGAGCUAGAGUUGGGUUUGUUUUUUGUUUUUGUUUUUGUUUUGGCUUUUUGGGUUGUGUUUGCUUGUUCCUUUGUUUUUUUGUUGUUUUGUUUUGUUUUGUUUUUGUUUUUGAUGUGUGCAUUUGGAGAAGCCCUGCAUUAGGGCCUGUCUCUGGAGGGACUCCUGUCGGCCCACUCGGUGGUUUGACAGGCUCUGUCAGCAUCCAGGGUUUGGAAGAUACAGAUCCUGCAGCCUCGUUUGCAUAGGGCCAGAUGUCAGUCACUGUGCCAAAAGGCAGAGCGGAAUUGCUUAGGGCGGGAGGCAUCGCAGGCUGUGCACCCUGCCCACCCCCAAAGUCCAUGUCUAGGUUGAAAGGGCCGCACCAAGGAAUCAGGUCCACAUGGGUGGAGGAGGAGGUUCAAGAGCUCUGAGAGGAAGUCAUUGUGUUGCAAGACAGCUUCAGUCCUACCUGGCCCUCAAGAAGGGAGGCCGUGGCUGGGUGUCUGCUGACUCUUCCGUGGCUCUUCUGAGAGUAGAUUUCUUAAGCAUGGAAAAGGUCAUUCCCCUGACCUCCUGAUGGGCCUCCCUCCCCUCUCCCAGUCCAGGCAAGCCAGUUGUCCCCGGGUCUCUUUGGUAUUUCAGGUGUUGCCUGUGUCGGACCCAGACUGAGUUGUAGUGGUUCAGCGGUCAUGAGUUUAGCAGGUGGGCCUGCGGCGGGCAGCAGAGUGGAAGAGCGCCUCUGGGAAGAAGGCAGGGCCUUGCCCCUUGGCAGAGGCGCGCCGGCACCGAGGCCACCAGUCCCUCUGGUGUGGGCUUGCAGGAGGGAGGGACACUGAGUGCUCUGGCUCCCCAUGGGCCCCUCGUGAUGCAUACCCUCAUUUUCUGCCACCUUGGAGGGUUUGGCCGAGUUUUUCUUAGUGCCGCUCAUCCCAGGCUCACCCUGGCGGAGGCACCUCUUGAGUGGCUGGAUUUGCUCCGCCCACCAGCCACAUGGGGGCGUGGCAAAGGAGGAAAUGUGCCAGGUCGGGGGUCCGUGCCCAUGACCUCUUCACAAAAGGAAAGGUGUGAAGGAGGAGCCCCCGGGGGCCUGUCCUGUCCCCUGCCAGAAUGUCCCCGGCCAGAACACAGAGUCUCCGCCUCAGCCGGGGGCCAGCUGGCCAGGCACAUUGGCAGAGCGGCCCUGUGGGCUCGCUCUCCCCCUCCCUGUGUCCAUGGUCCGGUGCCGGGGGCCGAUCGGCCCCAGCUUUGCUCGCGCUGGCCGGCCUCUAAAAGCUUGCCUUUGCCCUGGCUGCAGCUCAGCACCCCACACUGGCUGGCACUUCGCUGCUGCCUGGAAGGAAAGAAGAAAGUGGAAGCCACGUGCCUGGCUUGGUCAGGCCAGAGGCAGGUGUACCUGCCCAGGGCAGGGGGAAGCCAAGGGGAGGGAGAUGCAGGACUUCUGGGGGCCAGGCUGGCUCCCGAACAUGUAGUGGGGGAGGAAUGUAUAGCAAGCCCUGGCCACGGGCGCCAUGGGGAGUUGCGGCCAGCAUUUGAGGUCCUGGGGGAGCAGCCGGCAUCUCGGUUGGCCUGUCCUUGAGGCCCAUGUGGAGAGGUGACCUGGCCAGACCCUCAGCGGCCUGCCUAGGGGGUGCCCCUCCAGCCCUGCUUCUCUGUGAGUGCACAGGGGGUUCCCCAACCAGCCUGGCCAAGUUUCCACAUGCUCUUUGCCAGCGUGUGGGAGCUCUGUGUGUGUCUGAGACGGUGUUUGUGGAAGCUUCUUUUAAACCGGCCCUGGGAAGGGAGAGGAGUGUUCCUUCCAGUCCCCAGGUAGCCUCGGCUAAAGAUUUGGGCCCAUGAGAACAGUGUGCUCAGCUGGCCAACUCGCAGCAUCAGCUCACGGUCACAGAGAGAAGGUCAUGCCUGCUCGCGGCCCCCCCUCCCCCACCCCCGUAUUUGGUUCCUUACACCAAAGAUGAUCGGGGCCCAUCUUCUUCCCGGAGGCCCAGGGCCACGUUCCUCUGUCAGCUUGCGAGGAAGCCACCGCCUCAGUCUCCCAAGCCAACCGUCUCUCUUUCUCCUGCGACUUCUCAGCAUCCACAGAAGCUGCUCGCAGGGCGGUCGGUUCCCUUUCUCAUCCGGUACCCAAGUCCAGCUCUCACAUCAUCCCUCUGGCUGCAGCCUCCAUUGGGCCUUGGUUCUUCGUGCUUGUCGAUAUAAUGCAGUGUUUUGUGGUGCGAGCGCAGCUGCCCACACAUACAUCGCAGGGUAUCAGCACGUCUCUGUGUGCUGGUGGUAGGUCUGGGCUGACAGAAGCCCCUCCCUACCUCUCCCUCGGCCAAAAAGACUGUCUCGGACGCCCAUCCCGAGUCAUCCAAAGUGGAGAAGGGGAGGUGGGCGAGGGGAGAAGGGCUGGUGUGGCACUGCCCUGGCCUACUGGGAAGGAGCGCCCUCACUGCACACCCCGCCCUGCCCUCUGGGCGGCGGGUUGGGGUCCUGAGAGGGAACGAGCCUUGCUCUUCUGUAUAUAGAGUCGAGCCACUCCUGCUCAGGAAAACCUAGUCGCUUGUCGUUGCCCUUGUGACAUUUUUGUACACUGGUUUGCUACUCGUGGCACGAAACAAACAAAACAGAGGCGUUUUUCAAGCCAAGCUGUUGUUUUGGAAACCCGCUUUCUUUCAGUGUCCGUUUUGUAUUAUAUUUGGAAGAAUUCUUCAUUUCUCUUGGUGUCAUUGUGGUAGACAGGAUAGGAUAGUCUGACUUGUGAUUCUUUCUGCCAGGAAAAUGGCAGUGCCUCUGUCAUUCCCCCCACCCCCACCCCAGUCCUUCCUCAUUCCCAAGGUGGGAUUGCUAUGCACUGGGCAGACCCCCCCCCAACCCCCAUCACCCUGUCACCCGCCCCCCACAGUGGCUUCCUUUCGAGCCAGCCUUUGUGCCCCCACUCCCCCUCCCCCCAAAAAAGGCUGCAGGAUGAGUAUUUUUGCCAAGCUGGUUCUUGGGUGCUCUGUGCCCGCCACCAGUUUGCUCACCUCUUGGGGCAUUUUGUAAUGUUUUCUGUUUUGUAAAACCUUUUGAUUGUACUGAAAUGGUUUCUGCGGUCACCUUUGGAAAUAAAUGGUCAUUAAUUUGUGUACUUAGCAUUCUGAAUUUUAGUCUGAGGUGUUUCUGUUGUUGAAGAUCCCUGAAUGAAAAGGAACCCUCACCACGGGACUUUACUGUUAAAUCUUUCCUUCAUUUACUGUUAUUAAAAGAUUUAUGAGAA